rnacentral:lncRNA from 1 species
UAAACAAUAAAGAGAAAGAGAGAGAAAGAAAGACUUUUUUUAAUCCUUACUUUACGUGUAAUGUAACAUAGUCAUUUUUUUUUUUUCAAUUGGGAGAGAUGGCUGAGUGGACUAAAGCGGCGGAUUGCUAAUCCGUUGUACGAGUUAUUUGUACCGAGGGUUCGAAUCCCUCUCUUUCCGUUUCCUUGGAUGACUUGAUAUUUGAUUUAUCUUCUAAAUUAUAUACCCAAAAAAUCGAACAAUGAACUUUGUUGAUCCAAAAGUCCUAAAAGCCUAUAACAUACCCAAAAUACCCUUUGAUUACACAAAUUGAGUUAAUUCAUGGAAUAGAUCAUAUUUGUAACUUCUCAAUUUGUGCUCUUUCAUAAAAAUGCUUACAAAGUAAUUUAAUUUGUUUAGUAUAAAAUUAUAAUUUGUUGAUUGUUGCGGGCAAUUGGGUCUUUUAUUGAUUUGUUGAUUAUAAUGAUAAUUUUUCACUUUUAGUAUGUAGUGAAUUUUGUUAAUAAUGAAAACUUCUCAAUUUUUUCUCAAAUAUAUAUCAUAUUGAGGAUUUUCCAAUUUCUUGCAAUAUGUUGAGAAUUUUCAAGUAAAUUUUGAUAACUUUUCAAUUUCAAUUCUCUUUUGAAUUUGGGAUUAAGUUGUUAAAUUGAUAUGUUCUCAAUUUUCGUACUUGCUAAAUCCUCACAAAUUAUAUGUUCUUCACUUUCAAAUUUU